rnacentral:misc_RNA from 1 species
UUUUCUCUUAAUUGAGUUGCAUUUGACUGUUUAUAUGUUACUGUUACUCUUAGAUACUGGGUAAAAAUUUUUUAUAUGGGUUUAGGGUUUCAAGUGGGUUUAGAUUUUGUGCUGUAUUAGAUAAUGGUUUUGCAAUCUGUUGACUUUUGAAUGCAUGUGUUUCAAGUGGGUAUUAAUUGCUUGGUUGAUAGAAUUCAGGAGAAGGAACUAUAGAAUUGGCCAAAUACUGGGCAGUGGGCACUUUUAUUUUCCACCAGAAAUUAGCAUUACUACUAGCUAAUUGUUCGUCUGAUUGAUUGAUAUAUUUACAGAGUAGGACUGUAGAAGGCUAAAAAAUAAAAAGUUGAAAAAAUCUUCUAUUAACUUGCAUUUAUGAUGCGUGACUCUUUUUGUAGAUGGAUAUCCUUUCGA